AGUGAACGCUGGCGGUAGGCCUAACACAUGCAAGUCGAACGGCAGCACAGUAAGAGCUUGCUCUUACGGGUGGCGAGUGGCGGACGGGUGAGGAAUACAUCGGAAUCUACUUUUUCGUGGGGGAUAACGUAGGGAAACUUACGCUAAUACCUCAUACUACCUACGGCUUAAAGCAAGGGAUCUUCGGACCUUUCGCGAUUCAAUUAGCUGAUGUCGGAUUAGCUAGUUGGCGGGGUAAAGGCCCACCAAGGCGACGAUCCGUAGCUGGUCUGAGAGGAUGAUCAGCCACACUGGAACUGAGACACGGUCCAGACUCCUACGGGAGGCAGCAGUGGGGAAUAUUGGACAAUGGGCGAAAGCCUGAUCCAGCCAUACCGCGUGGGUGAAGAAGGCCUUCGGGUUGUAAAGCCCUUUUGUUGGGAAAGAAAAGCAGCAGGUUAAUACCCCGCUGUUCUGACGGUACCCAAAGAAUAAGCACCGGCUAACUUCGUG
rnacentral:rRNA from 1 species